UCGGCCCAGCUUUACUCGCACAGCCUGCCAGCUCUGUUUGAACAGAAAGGACAUCUGCACAAGAAACACAGCAGCCUGUCGCUCAGCACCAACCGCCUCACUGAGCGGAUCAGUCUCAGAAAGUUUACCAUAUCUGUAAAGAUUCCUGACACUAAAGGUUGUAGGAGGUGCAGUGUAGCAAGAAACCCAUACACAGAUAGCACAUUUCUGUGCGGGGCUGUCCCAUCUGGCCUGGUUUUACUCUUGUGGUAUGAGCCUCUUCAAAAGUUCAUGCAU